rnacentral:rRNA from 1 species
UACGUAGGGUGCGAGCGUUAAUCGGAAUUACUGGGCGUAAAGCGUGCGCAGGCGGAUGUUUAAGUUAGAAGUGAAAUCCCCGGGCUCAACCUGGGAAUGGCUUUUAAGACUGGGCAUCUAGAGUUUGUCAGAGGGGGGUGGAAUUCCAAGUGUAGCAGUGAAAUGCGUAGAGAUUUGGAGGAACACCGAUGGCGAAGGCAGCCCCCUGGGAUAGAACUGACGCUCAUGUACGAAAGCGUGGGUAGCAAAC